UGAAAGCCUAGAGUUGUCUGCAUCCACACCUCUUUUACCAUUUCCUCAUUCAACCUGGCCAUGAGAAAGAAGCCAAUCUAUAGAAAAGGAAGAAGACAACAGGAAAUACAUCUCACUCUGAGAUGAAGAUGGAUGGUUACAAUACAAAUUAAGUGCAUGUACGGUAAAUGGGCAUUGUUGGAUAAAUGCAGUGAUGGAAGAAAAUAAGAUGGUGGUCGUGCCAUUUCUACCUGACUUCCUUUUCUCCAACUUGAUGAUACUCUACCUUCAGAAACAGGAACCUUUGUUCUUAAACACAGGAAGUUGUAAACUCUCCAACAGCAAAUUUUAUUAACUCAUAGGCAAUACUAUAAAUGAUGGUACUCUAUUGAGUCAAUGCCUUCAACAUGAAUCAGGAGAUUAACUUUUGCAGCAAACUGUCAAUCUUUACUCCUAAAUUAUGGAAAAUUGUCUUCUCUCAGGAUUCAAUCUUUGUGUAGGAAAACAAGCCACGGUACUAUAACAAGAUACUCAUCACAGAAGUGGAAUCUUCCAACACUUCUUUCCCCCAGUAGAUUCAGCUU